ACACUCUGUGCUAUUGUUGUGCAAUGUACAAGAUUUUUCUAAGGCAAGCACGUUAUUCCCAUAAAACUGAUUGCAAAAGUGUGUUCUCCCAAGAUGUGUAUAUAAACACGUGCUCAAAGAGAAUAAUAAAUAUAUUGUGAAGAUCUCUGAUCAGUCCGAUGUAUAUGUUUUAUCUUCAGACUCGUAAAUUUUUUGUUCCUUUUUUUUUUUUUUUUUUUUUUUUUUUUUUUUUUUUUUUUUUCAAUGUUGAGUUCACAUCUUCAGACAUUUCUUGUAUUGAGUUUUGUUAAACUUUGAGCUCGUCAAUUUCCCUUGCCUAAUUUGCAUGGUAAAACCAUAUCAAGUGCCCAGAAAAGUAGAACCCUUGUUAUGGGCUUCUUUUUCUUGAUUCAUUUUGUUCUUUAAGUAACCCAUAUUCAGUUUUCCCAAAUCAAUUCUUAAAUCAAUUUCUCUGCCUGUUUAAGGUUCUUUAUUGCUGUUGUUCCCGGGGUUUAUUGGUCUCCGUUUGGUUCAUAUAAGCAGGACAAAUGGCGGAACAUGCGUACUCACUAUGGGAAAACAAAAUUACAUCUACAGUAAACAAAAUUACAUCUGGUGCUGUCUCCACUGCCAAAGCUCCAAAUGCUGCUGCUGCUUCUUUGACUCCUGUGGAUUUUGCUGUAGAUGAUCCCUCAAAAAGACAAGAUGUUGAAAAUGUAACAACGUAUGCUUUCCCUACCCUUUUCUUGUUACCUUGAUCACGCGAGAGGAAUUGAAUGCGAAGAAAAUGGAUUUCACGACCUUAUGGUUUGGGGAUUUAAUUGGCAAAAUCGUGUUUCCUUUAGUUGUUAUAGUUGCGUUUGAAAGAUGUAAUUUCUGUCAUGGCCAUGACUUGGUACUUAACAUUUGGAGUGCUUUAACUGGCCACGUCAUUUUUCCAUCAUCCACAUCAGUAGCUCUACUAACUGAUUUCAUUCAUUGAUUGAUAGAGUGAAACGAAGCAAAGUUUAGUAGCUAAUGAGAUGCUUUAUGAAGUUUGGAGAGUAUGUCGUAACAUGAUGCAAC
rnacentral:lncRNA from 1 species